GCUAUCAGAUGAGCCUAGGUCGGAUUAGCUAGUUGGUGAGGUAAUGGCUCACCAAGGCGACGAUCCGUAACUGGUCUGAGAGGAUGAUCAGUCACACUGGAACUGAGACACGGUCCAGACUCCUACGGGAGGCAGCAGUGGGGAAUAUUGGACAAUGGGCGAAAGCCUGAUCCAGCCAUGCAGCGUGUGUGAAGAAGGUCUUCGGACUGUAAACCUCUUUAAGUUGGGAGGAAGGGCAUUUACCUAGUACGUAAGUGUUUUGACGUUACCGACAGAAUAAGCACCGGCUAACUCUGUGCCAGCAGCCGCGGUAAUACAGAGGGUGCAAGCGUUAAUCGGAAUUACUGGGCGUAAAGCGCGCGUAGGUGGUUCGUUAAGUUGGAUGUGAAAUCCCCGGGGCUCAACCUGGGAACUGCAUUCAAGUCUGUCGAGCUAGAGUAUGGUAGAGGGUGGUGGAAUUUCCUGUGUAGCGGUGAAAUGCGUAGAUAUAGGAAGGAACACCAGUGGCGAAGGCGACCACCUGGACUGAUACUGACACUGAGGUGUGAAAGCGUGGGGAGCAAACAGGAUUAGAUACCCUGGUAGUCCACGCCGUAAACGAUGUCAACUAGCCGUUGGGAGCCUUGAGCUCUUAGUGGCGCAGCUAACGCAUUAAGUUGACCGCCUGGGGAGUACGGCCGCAAGGUUAAAACUCAAAUGAAUUGACGGGGGCCCGCACAAGCGGUGGAGCAUGUGGUUUAAUUCGAAGCAACGGGAAGAACCUUACCAGGCCUUGACAUCCAAUGAACUUUCCAGAGAUGGAUUGGUGCCUUCGGGAACAUUGAGACAGGUGCUGCAUCG
rnacentral:rRNA from 1 species